ensembl:miRNA
GGUCAUUGAGUCUUCAAGGCUAGUGGAAAGAGCACUGGACUUGAAGGCAGAAGGACC